CUGGGACACAGGGGUUGUGCCCAGCAUUGGGCACAGUAUUGGGCACAGUGGACCACAGUUAAACAUGCUGCUGCCCCAUGGAAGGUAUGGUAACACACAAGUCAAAUUCUGGCCAUUAUAGCUAACAUGCAGGGAAUGCUGAGUUCUGACCUAGAUAGGAAUGCAGAGGUGUCCCAUGGAAAUUGUUCAGGCUGAGGUGAGAUUCAAAAGGGGCUCCUAAGGAGGUGGGUAUGAGGACAGUCCUUUUCAGGGCGUCCGCCAAGUUAGAGGCCUUGAGGUGGAGCCAUGAGCUUAUCUGAGAGCUGUGGGAGGUAGUGUGGGGCCACAGGGCAUCACCAUUCAUGACUCAGUACAAGUGGCUUGACAGUCUUGAUCUUGGGAACAAGGGGUUAGGGUUAUCUCAGCCCUGAAGGAUCUUGCUGGAUGAUGUGGGUGAGGGGUCAGGGUGUCUCAGCACCAAAGGGUCUUGUUAGAGGGAGAGGCAUCAGGGUUUCAGCUCUCUUGCUGGGGAGUGUGGAUCAAUGUAUAAUGAGGCUAAAAGGAGGUUCAGGAGAGUUGGAAACUGGUAUAGAUCAGGCAAGAGACAGAUUGGAAGUGGAGAUGCUGUUUGUUCAUAUAACCUGGUGUGGUGUAGGCAGGUAGACAGAAUUCUGACAUAGGAAGGAAGUUAAGUGCAUUUUCACUAAAAAUUUGAGAAUUUAAAACUUUGAGGGAUACAC
rnacentral:lncRNA from 1 species